GCUGACACAUCCCAGCCAAUCUCCAGCAGACCCUCCCUCCCAGACCCUCCUACUUCCUGGACAGCAUCCAUGUUGAAGCUGCCUUCAACAUGGAUGCUGUCCAGGAGGUGGGAGGGUCUGGGAGGGAGGGUCUGCUGGAGAUUGGCCGGGAUGUGUCAG